rnacentral:rRNA from 1 species
CCCUUAGAUGUUCUGGGCCGCACGCGCGCUACACUGAUGCAUUCAACGAGCCUAUCCUUGACCGACAGGUCCGGGUAAUCUUUGAAUCUGCAUCGUGACGGGGAUAGAUUAUUGCAAUUAUUAAUCUUCAACGAGGGAUGCCUAGUAGGCGCAAGUCAUCAGCUUGCGUCGAUUACGUCCCUGCCCUUUGUACACACCGCCCGUCGCUCCUACCGAUUGGGUGUGCUGGUGAAAUGUUCGGAUCGGCCGUUUGUCGCGGUUUCCGCGGCUCGUGGCUGAGAAGUUCAUUAAACCCUCCCACCUAGAGGAAGGAGAAGUCGUAACA